rnacentral:rRNA from 1 species
CCUACGGGUGGCAGCAGUGGGGAAUCUUGCUCAAUGCUCGCAAGCCUGACGCAGCGACGCCGCGUGAAUGACGACUGCCCUAUGGUCGUUAAGUUCCUUCUAUAGGGAAGAAAAUGCCUAUAAGUAACUGUUUAUGUAUUUACGGUACCUGUAUAAGCAGCCUAGGCUAAUUCCGUGCCAGCAGCCGCGGUAAUACGGAGGAGCCGUGCGCUGUUCGGAUUGUCUGGGCGUAAAGGGCACGUAGGCGGUGUUUUAAGUCAGUAGUGAAAGAUUGGGGCUCAACUUUAGAACGGCAGGUGAUACGGUAAUACUAGAGUAUAGGAGAGGUAGGCAGAAUGCGUGGUGUAGCGGUGAAAUGCGGAGAUAUCAGGAAGAACACCGAUUGCGAAGGCAGCAAUCUGGCUGGUAACUGACGCUGAGGUGCGAAAGCGUGGGUAGCAAACAGGAUUAGAUACCCGAGUAGUC